AUACGGAGGGUGCAAGCGUUACUCGGAAUCACUGGGCGUAAAGCGCGCGCAGGCGGCUAUUUAAGUUGGAUGUGAAAGCCUACGGCUCAACCGUAGAACUGCAUCCAAAACUAUUUAGCUAGAGUGUGGGAGAGGAAGAUGGAAUUAGUUGUGUAGGGGUAAAAUCCGUAGAGAUAACUAGGAAUACCAAAAGCGAAGGCAAUCUUCUGGAACACUACUGACGCUGAGGCGCGAAAGCGUGGGGAGCAAACGGGAGUAGAAACCCUAGUAGUCC
rnacentral:rRNA from 1 species